GCGGUGGUGGUGAAGAGGAAGAGGAGCGGAAACGCCAGGAGAGCUACCCCAGAAGCGGCGAAGGAGACGAGCAUGACGGACCUGGAGAAGAAACCUGAAACACCAAGUGCAGAUGCUGACAAACCCGAGGAAGCGGUGUCUUCUGUGGACUGAGGUUGAUUCAUGCAACAUUUUAAAUAAACUGUCUGCAUUUUCC